rnacentral:lncRNA from 1 species
GAUCACCCCAACUUUCUCAAAAUUCAAAACAAAACAUGUUAGAAUGGACUUAGUCGGUCCUCAUUAUUAACAAAAUCUUUUGUUUCUUUCGUUUCCACGUUUUUUUUAUUUUUUCGUGGUGGUCGAAUCUUAUAGAGAUUGCCUACGUAUCAUGACCCCGCAUGAAUCAGACCGUGCGUAGUUCGGACCAAGAAAAAGUAAACAACAAUGAAACAUUUUUUGGAAUUUUCAACUUUCAUAAUAAAACCAACUUUAAUUACAAUGGUUUAAAAACAUACCGAACUAUCAAAAUUUGAC